AGCUUAAGGCUUACAACAGUCUGUUUUAGGAGGCAAACCCAUGCAACGAAUUUGCUUUCUUAAGAAAAUCAAAGUCGUUGUUUCUUCUACCAAUGUUACAAAUGUAUAGUUUUACAGACGCGAAUUUAGGAUUUGAACAUCAUGAAUGGCAACGGAACUUACUAACCACUUGAGUUGGGUGUAUAUGAAAUUUAGUAUUUGUAUAUAUUUAGUAGAUUUCUCAACACACGUACGAAAUGUUAUACUGUCUUCAAAGAAGCUGAAAAAAUUUACUUGUCACACAAAUAUCUUCUAAAACUUCAAAAGAAACCAAAAACAAAUAAACACAACACAAGAAUAUAAGUUCCCACCAUCAGCCAAAUUCAGCUUCACCAUAAGUUUACCAGUCUAAUAUAUCAGCAAUCUAUACCGCACACAGCUGACUAACGAUCAGCUUGGGCACGUUUAUGCAUCCACUCAUAGCUGAAGUAUCAGUGUCUCGAUAGCCUCCUAACCCUGCAAUAUUAGCUCAUGUAAGUCCCCUACUAUAUCAAAAAUGAAGCAGCCAGACACUUAUUAAACCUUACCGAGGAGAACGAGACCGGCAAAUGGAACGAGAAAGCGAGUGUUAACUAGAGUAAGAGCGCGACGGUGAAUGUGAGCGUGAGUGAGAGCGAGUCCGCGACCGUGAGCGGUAUCUACGAGAACUCCUUUCUCGGAUAGGACUCCGGCUAAGUCGGUGCCUUCACCCAUAGUACAUAAUUCAGACAUGAACAGUG
rnacentral:lncRNA from 1 species